UGGGGAAUUUUGGACAAUGGACGCAAGUCUGAUCCAGCCAUGCCGCGUGCGGGAAGAAGGCCCUCGGGUUGUAAACCGCUUUUGUCAGGGAAGAAACGAGUUUCUCUAAUACAGAGACUUAAUGACGGUACCUGAAGAAUAAGCACCGGCUAACUACGUGCCAGCAGCCGCGGUAAUACGAAGGGUGCAAGCGUUGCUCGGAAUUACUGGGCGUAAAGCGUGCGUAGGUGGUGGUUUAAGUCUGUUGUGAAAGCCCUGGGCUCAACCUGGGAAUUGCAGUGGAUACUGGAUCACUAGAGUACGGUAGAGGGGGAUGGAAUUCCGCGUGUAGCAGUGAAAUGCGUAGAUAUGCGGAGGAACACCGAUGGCGAAGGCAAUCCCCUGGACCUGUACUGACGCUCAUGCACGAAAGCGUGGGGAGCAAACA
rnacentral:rRNA from 1 species